GACAGAGGCCCCGAGCGUUAGUCGGAAUCACUGGGCUUAAAGGGUGCGUAGGCGGAUUGUUAAGUCAGGGGUGAAAUCCUGGAGCUCAACUCCAGAACUGCCUUUGAUACUGGCGAUCUCGAGUCCGGGAGAGGUGAGUGGAACUGCGAGUGUAGAGGUGAAAUUCGUAGAUAUUCGCAAGAACACCAGUGGCGAAGGCGGCUCACUGGCCCGGUACUGACGCUGAGGUGCGAAAGCGUGGGGAGCAAACAGG
rnacentral:rRNA from 1 species